GACAGAGGGUGCGAACGUUGUUCGGAAUUACUGGGCGUAAAGCGAGUGUAGGCGGUUUGGUAAGUCGGAUGUGAAAGCCCCCGGGCUCAACCCGGGAAGUGCACUCGAUACUGCCAAGCUAGAGUAUCGGAGAGGUUGGUGGAAUUCUCAGUGUAGAGGUGAAAUUCGUAGAUAUCGAGAGGAACACCGGCGGCGAAGGCGGCCAACUGGACGAAUACUGACGCUGAGACUCGAAAGCGUGGGGAGCAAACAGG
rnacentral:rRNA from 1 species